rnacentral:rRNA from 1 species
UUUGAACUCGAGCGGGAUGCUUUACACAUGCUAGUCGAACGAGUGGCGGAUGGGUGGGUAUUACAUCGGAACGUGUACAGUAGCGGGGGAUAACUACCCGAAAGAGUGGCUCAUACCCCCCAACAUUGGUGCGGCCGAUAUCGGUUGGGCGAGUUGGUGGGGGAAAGGCUCACCAAGGCAAAGAUCCGUAGCCGGUUUGAGAGGACGACCAGCCACACUGGGACUGGGGCACGGCCCAGCCUCCUAGGGGAGGCAGCAGUGGGGAAUUUUGGACAAUGGGGGAGACCCUGGUCCAGCCAUCCCGCGUGUAUGAGAAGGCCGUCGGGUUGUAAAGUACUUUUGGCAGAGACGCGGUAUCUGCAGAAUAAGCACCAGCUCACUGCGUGCCAGCAGCCGCGGUAAUAC